rnacentral:rRNA from 1 species
GAUGAACGCUGGCGGCGUGCCUAAUACAUGCAAGUCGAGCGAAUGACGAGGAGCUUGCUCCUCUGAUUUAGCGGCGGACGGGUGAGUAACACGUGGGUAACCUGCCUGUAAGACGGGGAUAACUCCGGGAAACCGGAGCUAAUACCGGAUGAUAACGAGAAGCGCCUGCUUCUUUUUUGAACGUCGGUUUCGGCUGACGCUUACAGAUGGGCCCGCGGCGCAUUAGCUAGUUGGUGAGGUAACGGCUAACCAAGGCGACGAUGCGUAGCCGACCUGAGAGGGUGAUCGGCCACACUGGGACUGAGACACGGCCCAGACUCCUACGGGAGGCAGCAGUAGGGAAUCUUCGGCAAUGGACGAAAGUCUGACCGAGCAACGCCGCGUGAGCGAUGAAGGCCUUCGGGUCGUAAAGCUCUGUUGUCAGAGAAGAACAAGUACCGGAGUAACUGCCGGUACCUUGACGGUACCUGACCAGAAAGCCACGGCUAACUACGUGCCAGCAGCCGCCGUAA